UUCUAUUGGUCGAGGGCACACAUGGGCCCAGGCGGAUUACAAGCGGUGUGGCUAGUCGUAUGAGGAGGAGCCAAGGAAGCUACAUUUUGUUUUUAUUUCUGGCUGCUACAGGGAUGCCCACCGUUUCCAAAUUAUGGUCCAUGUGUGUUGACAAGGAACUUUGCUGGAUUACCUUGGGGCAGUCAUUCAGUACAAUGCUAAGUAAUUCCAAUGGGGGAUUGCUCUGUUUUGAAUUACAUUAAUUUUCUUUCAGUCUAACCAGUCUCACAGAGGAUAAAUUGGACAAGGUAGAAUUAAGUGCACUGCUCUGAACUUCUUGGAGAACAGGCAGAAUAAAAAUAGAUAGAUAUGU